GACGAACGCUGGCGGCGUGCCUAAUACAUGCAAGUAGAACGCUGAAGCGAGGAGCUUGCUCUUCUUGGAUGAGUUGCGAACGGGUGAGUAACGCGUAGGUAACCUGCCUUGUAGCGGGGGAUAACUAUUGGAAACGUUAGCUAAUACCGCAUAACAAUAGGUGACACAUGUCACUUAUUUGAAAGGGGCAAUUGCUCCACUACAAGAUGGACCUGCGUUGUAUUAGCUAGUAGGUGAGGUAACGGCUCACCUAGGCGACGAUACAUAGCCGACCUGAGAGGGUGAUCGGCCGCACUGGGACUGGGACACGGCCCAGACUCCUACGGGAGGCAGCAGUAGGGAAUCUUCGGCAAUGGGGGCAACCCUGACCGAGCAACGCCGCGUGAGUGAAGAAGGUUUUCGGAUCGUCAAGCUCUGUUGUAAGUCAAGAACGAGUGUGAGAGUGGAAAGUUCACACUGUGACGGUAGCUUACCAGAAAGGGACGGCUAACUACGUG
rnacentral:rRNA from 1 species